CCUACGGUGGGCAGCAGUGAGGAAUAUUGGUCAAUGGUCGGGAGACUGAACCAGCCAAGCCGCGUGAGGGAGGAAGGUACAGAGUAUCGUAAACCUCUUUUGUCAGGGAACAAAGACUGGGACGCGUCCCCGGAUGAGUGUACCUGAAGAAAAAGCAUCGGCUAACUCCGUGCCAGCAGCCGCGGUAAUACGGAGGAUGCGAGCGUUAUCCGGAUUUCUUGGGUUUAAAGGGUGCGCAGGCGGUCUGUUAAGUCAGCGGUCAAAGCCCGGGGCUCAACCCCGUCCCGCCGUUGAAACUGGCAGUCUCGAGUUGGAGAGAAGUAUGCGGAAUGCGCGGUGUAGCGGUGAAAUGCAUAGAGAUCGCGCAGAACUCCGAUUGCGAAGGCAGCAUGCCGGCUCCACACUGACGCUGAGGCACGAAAGUGUGGGGAGCAAACAGGAUUAGAUACCCGAGUAGUC
rnacentral:rRNA from 1 species